rnacentral:lncRNA from 1 species
UUGGACCGUGUUUUCUGGAGAUUUUCCCCAGGGAACGAUGGAGAGGUUUCUUGAGAACAAGGUAGAGGUGGCCAAUCAAUGGUAAACUGGGAAAAGGUAUUGGAGGAUGGUUUUGAAACUUGUGGAACAAGUGGAUGGUGAUUGAAUAAAGGGCUAAAAAGAGGAGGAUUUGCAGAAACAUGGUGACUAGCCUCGUGAAUUAUGAUGGAUUUCCGUUCUAAACGAGAAUAAUAGCAUUUUCUGUCCCAGGCAGGAUUAUUUAGGGUUGUGAAUUGGGAAAAAUGUAGUCAACUAUGAAGUCUUUUCUUUCUUCGAGAAGACACAAUUGUUAAUCCUUGGGCAGAUUUGACAAAUGUUACAAAGUGUUAGAAAUGAUGAAAAAGAUAGUGCAACGCUUUUGUCAAACUCAUUUAUUAAGGAAUGCAUUUCCCUUCUAGAUAUUCUUUGGGGCCACACAACUUCUAGAUAUUCAACAUUUGGAAAAACUCAAAGAGCUAAAGAGACACGACAAAAGGUGGGUUGCCAUGGUUUUAUAGGAUCAAAUUUGAUUCAAAUUUUUUAUAAUAUAUAUUAUAAAAUUUUAAAAUUAAAAUUAAUUUAAUGGAAAUCAAAUAUUAUUAAUUUAUUCAAUUCAUCGAAUUUUAAAUUUAAUUAUUUUAUUUUUUAUAAUAAAAUUUUAAUAUAAUUUUAAUAUAUUUAAAUAUAAAAUAAUUAUUUUAACUUUAUAAAAUUAAAAAUAUAUAUAAAUUAAUAAAAAAUAUAAUUCGAUUCAAUUUUUUUUUUUAAUUUCUUACUUCUCAAUCCUAAAUCUUUUGCAUUUAAUAUAUAUAUAUAUGUAUGUGUUUUAAUAUUUAAAUUUAAUUUAAAUUAAAUAAAAAAAUUUGAAUCAAACUAAAUAUUAUAAUUUUAAAUUAAUUUUUUGAUUUAUUCGAUUUUUUGUCACCUCUAUAUCAAAGAACCUUUUUUUAUACUUUGUCAUGGGUCAAUUCCAUGAGAGACCUUAGUGGAAGGUUUGUUUAACAAACGAUAUAAAUAAUAUUUUAAGAUUUAUUAAUAAAAUAAAUUCAUAAUAAAGAUAAAAAAUUUUGUUUAUAUUUAAUUUAUUUACAUCCAAAAGAGUAAAAAACAAAAUAUUCACAAAUAAUUCAUAAUCAGACUCGACUUUUAUUUAUUUAUAUCUGUUUAUUAAGUUUAAUAAACAGUUCAAAUAAUAUUUUAAUAAUUAUUGAUUAAAUGGACAAAUUAAAAAAAAAAUUCAUUGUGGUUUAUCUAAACCAUAAGAAGUCGUCCUUGGUGCUUUUUCUUGUCUCUUUCACAAUUCCAUUUCCACCAGGAACUCCAGUCACGAAGUCUCUAGCUGUGAUGGAAAUGCUUUGAUCGAUGAUUAUCUUGCAAGUUUUUAUUUUAAAAUGUUUGUAUUUCAGUAGGGGUAUUAGAAGAGGGCAAUAUUAUUUCCUCUUAACAAAGUUUGGUACUUACUGCAGUUGAUUUUUUUUUCUUAUUUCUUAAAAAAUAUGCAGUUAAAGUAUGAAUAUCAAGAAUACCGGUGAUCAUUGUUGUCAGGUAGAGGUUUGUAUGGGAUUUAUUCAAGCCUAGAUGCUUUGGUCUUGUAUGAAUCCAAUAUAAUCUGUUAUAGUUUUAAAUCCUGAAAAUUCAUGUAAAAGGCUAAACUCCAAUUAUAUCAGCAUCUUUGAAUCAUUCAAUUCCCAGGGGGUUGUUUAUCCCCAUUUCAUAGCAUAAAAAGAGAGAGAGAUAGAAGACGUUUAGAACCAAUUGUGCAAGUUUGGGAAGAAUAGCAUUGGUUUGCUUUCCAUUCAUUAGAGGUAGCCAAUCAAUGGUAAAAUGGGAAAAGGGAUUGGAGGAUGGUUUCGAAACUUGCGGAACAAAAGUGGGUGGUGAUUGAAUAAAGGGCUAAAAAGAGGAGGAUUUGCAGAAACAUGGUGAAUAGCUUCGUGAGUUUUGAUGGAUUUCCGUUCUGAACAAUAAUAAUAGCACUUGCUGUCCCAGGCAGGGUUACUUAGGGUUGUGAAUUGGGGAAAAUGUAGUCAACUAUGAAAUCUUUUUCUUUUUUUUUGGGAGAAGAAGAAAAGGAUUAAUCCUUGGGCAGAUUUGACAAAUGUUAGAAAAUGAUAGAACGGAUGAAAAAGAUUCAAACGAACUCAUCUGUGAAGGAAAGUUGGGUUUAUACAUUUCCCCUUCUAGAUAUCGUCUGGGGCCACAUCCCUUCUAGACAUUGAAUAUUGGAAAUUUUGUCAAUGGGCCAAAGUGGCACGAAAGAAAGUGGGGUGACGAUAGCUUCGAUCGGAU